AAAGGAAUAGACGGGGACCCGCACAAGCAGCGGAGCAUGUGGUUUAAUUCGAAGCAACGCGAAGAACCUUACCAGGGCUUGACAUCCCUCGGACCGAACUAGAGAUAGUUCUUUCCCUUCGGGGACUGAGGUGACAGGUGGUGCAUGGUUGUCGUCAGCUCGUGUCGUGAGAUGUUGGGUUAAGUCCCGCAACGAGCGCAACCCCUACUUUUAGUUGCAAACAGUUCGGCUGUGCACUCUAGAGGGACUGCCGAUGAUAAAUCGGAGGAAGGUGGGGAUGACGUCAAAUCAUCAUGCCCUUUAUGUCCUGGGCUACACACGUGCUACAAUGGUCAAUACAACGGGUAGCGACCUCGCGAGAGGUAGCCAAUCCCACAAAGUUGAUCCCAGUUCGGAUUGUAGGCUGCAAUUCGCCUACAUGAAGCCGGAGUUGCUAGUAAUCGCGGAUCAGAAUGUCGCGGUGAAUGCGUUCCCGGGUCUUGUACACACCGCCCGU
rnacentral:rRNA from 1 species